CACACCGCCCGUCACACCAUGGGAAUUGGAUCUACCCGAAGGUGGUGCGCCAACCUGCAAAGGAGGCAGCCAACCACGGUAGGUUCAGUGACUGGGGUG
rnacentral:rRNA from 1 species